rnacentral:rRNA from 1 species
AUCAUGGCUCAGGAUGAACGCUAGCGGGAGGCCUAAUACAUGCAAGUCGAGCGGUAGAGUGACUUCGGUUGCUUGAGAGCGGCGAACGGGUGAGUAACGCGUACACAAUCUACCUUUAAGAGGGGAAUAGCCCUGGGGAACUGGGAUUAAUGCCCCAUGGCAUCACGAGACGGCAUCGUUUUGUGAUUAAAGCUGAGGUGCUUAGAGAUGAGUGUGCGUCUGAUUAGCUAGUUGGUGCGGUAACGGCGCACCAAGGCGACGAUCAGUAGGGGGCGUGAGAGCGUGGACCCCCACACGGGUACUGAGACACGGACCCGACUCCUACGGGAGGCAGCAGUAAGGAAUAUUGGUCAAUGGAGGAAACUCCUGAACCAGCCAUCCCGCGUGCAGGAAGAAUGCCCUAUGGGUUGUAAACUGCUUUUUAUCUGGGAAGAAAAAGUCGGGAUUUAUCCUGAUCUGACGGUACCAGAGGAAUAAGCACCGGCUAACUCCGUG